rnacentral:misc_RNA from 1 species
GAUGAAGAACGCAGCGAAAUGCGAUAAGUAAUGUGAAUUGCAGAAUUCAGUGAAUCAUCGAAUCUUUGAACGCACAUUGCGCCCCUUGGUAUUCCGAGGGGCAUGCCUUUUCGAGCGUCAUUAUAACCCUCAAGCUCAGCUUGGUGUUGGGGCCUGCUGCACUGGCAGCCCUUAAAAUCAGUGGCGGCGCCAUCUGGCUCUAAGCGUAGUAAUUCUUCUCGCUAUGGAGUCCUGGUGGAUGCUUGCCAUCAACCCCCAAUUUUUCUAUGGUUGACCUCGGAUCAGGUAGGGAUACCCGCUGAACUUAAGCAUAUCAAUAAGCGGAGGA